ensembl:lncRNA
GCUGUCCCCUCAAAAUAACUCAACACAGAGCCAUUAAUGUCUAAACCGCUGGCAACAAAAGUGAGUACACCCCUAAGUGAAAAUGUCCAAAUUGGGCCCGAAGUGUCAAUAUUUUGUGUGGCCACCAUUAUUUUCCAGCACUGCCUUAACCCUCUUGGGCAUGGAGUUCACCAGCGCUUCACAGGUUGCCACGGGGGUCCUCUUCCACUCCUCUAUGAUGACAUCACGGAGCUGGUGUAUGUUAGAGACCUUGUGCUCCUCCACCUUCCAUUUGAGGAUGCCUCACAGAUGCUCAAUAGGGUUUAGGUCUGGAGACAUGCUAGGCCAGUCCAUCACCUUCACCCUCAGCUUCUUUAGCAAGGCAGUGGUCUUUAUCAUGCUGGAAUACUGCAUACUGAUCAUGCUCUGCUUCAGUAUGUCACAAUACAUAUUGGCAUUCAUGGUUCCCUCAAUAAAUUGUAGUUCCCCAGUGCCGGCAGCACUCAUGCAGCUCCAGACCUUGACACUCCCACCACCAUGCUUGACUGUAGUCGAGACACACUUGUCUUUGUACUCCUCACCUGGUUGCCACCACACAUGCUUGACACCAUCUUGGUCUCAUCAGACCACAGGACAUGGUUCCAGUAAUCCAUGUCUUUAGUCUCCUAGUCUUGAGCAAACUGUUUGCAGGCUUUCUUGUGCAUCAUGUUUAGAAGAAGCUUCCUUCUGGGACGACAGCCAUGCAGACCAAUUUGAUGCAGUGUGCAGCGUAUGGUCUGAGCACUCACAGGCUGACCCCCCACCCUUUCAAUCUCUGCAGCAAUGUUGGCAGGACUCAUACGUCUAUUUCCCAAAGACAACCUCUGGAUAUGACGCUGAGCACGUGCACUCAACUUCUUUGGUCGACCAUGGCGAAGCCUGUUCUGAGUGGUACCUGUCCUGUUAAACCGCUGUAUGGUCUUGGCCACCGUGCUGCAGCUCCGUGUCAGGGUCUUGGCAAUCUUCUUAUAGCCUAGGCCAUCUUUUAUGUAGAGCAACAAUUCUUUUUUUCAGAUCCUCAGAGAGUUCUUUGCCAUGAGGUGCCAUGUUGAACUUCCAGUGACCAGUAUGAGGGAGUGUGAGAGCGAUGACACCAAAUUUAACACACCUGCUCCCCAUUUACACCUGAGACCUUGUAACACAAACAAGUCACAUGACAUCGGGGAGGGAAAAUGGCUAAUUGGGCCCAAUCUGGACAUUUUCACUUAGGGAUGUACUCACUUUUGUUGCCAGCGGUUUAGACAUUAAUGGCUGUGUGUUGAGUUAUUUUGAGAGGACAGCAAAUUUACACUGUUACACAAGCUGUACACUCACUACUUUACAUUGUAACAAAGUGUCAUUUCUUCAGUGUUGUCACAUGAAAAGAUAUAAUCAAAUAUUUACAAAAAUGAGAGGGGCGUACUCACUUUUGUGAGAUACUGUAUAUACACACACACACACACACACACACACACACACACAUACAUAUAUACAUACAUAUACAGUAUAUCUCCAUACAGUAUAUAUUACCAAGUGACAAUAUGUGACCUUUCUCUGUUUAUUUAUUUUUUUUGGGGGGGGGGCGGGGGGGGGGGGGGGGGAUUGAAGCCGGAUCCUAAAAAUGAUAAUAUCACACCGGAUCAUCUUCCACAUGAGUGAAACCAUAAUGAAGGUAGCAGUUGACAGCUGCUUGUGCUCGACCCUUAGCAGGUGUGUUUAACCUGCGCAAAUGGAAGUGGGUUAAAACAGGUGGGCUGAAAUUUUGAUGAGGGGAAAAAUACUAACAGAAAGGGAACACUGCCCUUGAAAUCGUUCCCCUUAUUUUGGCAGCAUUCCCAGGUCUGUCCUCAAUUAGCAUGGUUAUUUAAUAUUAUGCCGUUCGGAAAGCCAUUGUAAAAAAAAAAAAAAAAGAAAAAAAAAAAAAGAAAGAAAGAAAAAAAAGGAAGAAAUCAAUCGUUUGUCACAUAUGUUUAAGCUAGAGUGCUACUCUGUAAAUGAAACCAUUUUCAGUAAACGUCGGUGGUUCAAAAAUGGAAAAUGUACGGUAUGCUCAGUUUAUGAGCUUCCAGUGCUGAGAAAAGCUGAGCCCAAGAGACAAGUUUCUCAUGUGUAUGGCAUUUCUCUGACUAUUCUUUUUAAAAAGCAUUUUUUUUAUUUAUUUAUUUAUUUUGUGAUGUGCAUUUACUCCACAUGUACAUAAUAUCUAACCUGCCAGAUUCGUUCUACCCUCAGGAAGCCACAUGCACUUGCAAAGUGUGACGAUUUCUGAAUCAAACAAUGAAAUGAAAAUAAAAUCUGUAUGUGAAUGCUGUUUUUUUUUUUUUUUUUUUUUUGUGGCUCAUUCAAAUACUGUAGCUCUGUGUUGUGGAUCAUUUUCCAAGAAGUCUUUAAUUCCUACUUCAAUGUUUGAGCACAUAAAGUCUUAACAUUUCUUCUAUUCACACCUGGACUGGAUAGUCAUGCUAAUAAAUGGCAGAAAUGAUGAAAAUGUAUUUCGAUUGUGUCCACUGGACAGAUUUAAUUGUGGGCCGUCCCUUUUGAAUACUGAAAUUCCCCCACAGUAACCAAAUUGCUUGCCGCUGUAAUUUACGCUUCUUGUAUUUCUUAAUAAUUUGAGCAAAUGCAAUUUUGGCAGCGUAGGCACAAGUGCUCAUUUACAAACAUGACACUGGUCCAGAAUGACGAACAGCUAAAAUAUGAUCCACCUCCAGAUUUAGUUAAGAUGCACUCUCAUGCCAAAGGUAAUAUAAUAUAUAGUGUUUCAUAAACUAGUCUUCACUCUUCUUGGCUCUGUAACAGAGCGCUCUGGCAU